UAACGCGUGGGAAUCUGCCCUGGAGUGGGGGAUAACCGAGGGAAACCUCGGCUAAUACCGCAUACGUCCUGAGGGAGAAAGAUUUAUCGCUCUAGGAGGGGCCCGCGUCGGAUUAGCUUGUUGGUGGGGUAACGGCCUACCAAGGCGAUGAUCCGUUGCUGGUCUGAGAGGAUGAUCAGCCACACUGGGACUGAGACACGGCCCAGACUCCUACGAGAGGCAGCAGUGGGGAUUUUUGGACAAUGGGCGCAAGCCUGAUCCAGCAAUGCCGCGGCUGUGAUGAAGGCCUUAGGGUUGU
rnacentral:rRNA from 1 species